CAUAUCAAUAAGCGGAGGAAAAGAAACCAACKGGGAUUGCCUCAGUAACGGCGAGUGAAGCGGCAAAAGCUCAAAUUUGAAAUCCCCCGGGAAUUGUAAUUUGAAGAGAUUUGGGUCCGGCCGGCYGGGGUUAAGUCCACUGGAAAGUGGCGCCACAGAGGGUGACAGCCCCGUGAACCCCUUUAACGCCRUCAUCCCAGAUCUCCAAGAGUCGAGUUGUUUGGGAAUGCAGCUCUAAGUGGGUGGUAAAUUCCAUCUAAAGCUAAAUACCGGCGAGAGACCGAUAGCGAACAAGUACAGUGAUGGAAAGAUGAAAAGCACUUUGAAAAGAGAGUGAAAAAGUACGUGAAAUUGUUGAAAGGGAAGGGCUUGCAAGCAGACACUUAACUGGGCCAGCAUCGGGGCGGCGGGGAGCAAAACCACCGGGGAAUGUACCUUUCGAGGAUUAUAACCCCGG
rnacentral:rRNA from 1 species